rnacentral:lncRNA from 1 species
AAAGAAGUCUUAUCAAUAAGGUCAGAAAAAAGGGAUGCGUGAUGUGCGCUUGAGGAUUGCUAAUGGUCUUAAACCAUUGCAUUGCUACUGGUUUCGGUCUGUUCAUAUGCGUGAGAGAUUUGUGGGCAGGUUGGUUAUGAUUGAUCACACUUUGACAUAGUACAAUCCAAUUCAUAUCUUGAUUGAAUUUUACUUAGUGAAUUUAGUUUCAGUUGAUAUCAAGAUAUACGUGACAAAGCGUUUAAUACCUAUAUAUGUGUGAUUAGGCUAAAAAGUGAAUAAAAAAUUCUUUUGUUGCUCCAUUUUUUCAAUUUAGCUUUAUGAAUCCUCUUUAUGUAAUCUUUCUAUAAAGGUUUAUUUUUGCUGUUAUUGGAUGUUUUUCCAAAUUCUUGCUCACAACCUCUAUCAUGCAAUCCUGUACUCAUGAUUUGAUCUUCUCUCCUUCUAGGAUCUCCUCGCAUCUUCAGUGUGUACACCAAUACCUUUUCAAUGAAUUUUACGACUUCGUCUUCA